rnacentral:rRNA from 1 species
UACAGAGGGGGCGAGCGUUGUUCGGAAUUACUGGGCGUAAAGGGCGCGUAGGCGGCCCGCUAAGUCGAACGUGAAAUCCCCAGGCUCAACCUGGGAACUGCGUCCGAUACUGGCAGGCUUGAAUCCGGGAGAGGGAUGUGGAAUUCCAGGUGUAGCGGUGAAAUGCGCAGAUAUCACGAGGAACACCGAUGGCGAAGGCAGGUCUCUGGGCCGAUACUGACGCUGAGGAGCGAAAGCGUGGGGAGCGAACAGG